UCAGGAAACUGGGGCUAAUACCGGAUAGGAGCUCCUGCUGCAUGGUGGGGGUUGGAAAGUUUCGGCGGUUGGGGAUGGACUCGCGGCUUAUCAGCUUGUUGGUGGGGUAGUGGCUUACCAAGGCUUUGACGGGUAGCCGGCCUGAGAGGGUGACCGGCCACAUUGGGACUGAGAUACGGCCCAGACUCCUACGGGAGGCAGCAGUGGGGAAUAUUGCACAAUGGGCGGAAGCCUGAUGCAGCAACGCCGCGUGCGGGAUGACGGCCUUCGGGUUGUAAACCGCUUUCGCCUGUGACGAAGCGUGAGUGACGGUAAUGGGUAAAGAAGCACCGGCUAACUACGUGCCAGCAGCCGCGGUGAUACGUAGGGUGCGAGCGUUGUCCGGAUUUAUUGGGCGUAAAGGGCUCGUAGGUGGUUGAUCGCGUCGGAAGUGUAAUCUUGGGGCUUAACCCUGAGCGUGCUUUCGAUACGGGUUGACUUGAGGAAGGUAGGGGAGAAUGGAAUUCCUGGUGGAGCGGUGGAAUGCGCAGAUAUCAGGAGGAACACCAGUGGCGAAGGCGGUUCUCUGGGCCUUUCCUGACGCUGAGGAGCGAAAGCGUGGGGAGCGAACAGGCUUAGAUACCCUGGUAGUCCACGCUGUAAACGGUGGGUACUAGGUGUGGGGUCCAUUCCACGGGUUCCGUGCCGUAGCUAACGCUUUAAGUACCCCGCCUGGGGAG
rnacentral:rRNA from 1 species